GAUGAACGCUGGCGGCGUGCCUAAUGCAUGCAAGUCGAGCGAACGGACGAGAAGCUUGCUUCUCUGAUGUUAGCGGCGGACGGGUGAGUAACACGUGGAUAACCUACCUAUAAGACUGGGAUAACUUCGGGAAACCGGAGCUAAUACCGGAUAAUAUUUUGAACCGCAUGGUUCAAAAGUGAAAGACGGUCUUGCUGUCACUUAUAGAUGGAUCCGCGCUGCAUUAGCUAGUUGGUAAGGUAACGGCUUACCAAGGCAACGAUGCAUAGCCGACCUGAGAGGGUGAUCGGCCACACUGGAACUGAGACACGGUCCAGACUCCUACGGGAGGCAGCAGUAGGGAAUCUUCCGCAAUGGGCGAAAGCCUGACGGAGCAACGCCGCGUGAGUGAUGAAGGUCUUCGGAUCGUAAAACUCUGUUAUUAGGGAAGAACAUAUGUGUAAGUAACUGUGCACAUCUUGACGGUACCUAAUCAGAAAGCCACGGCUAACUACGUGCCAGCAGCCGCGGUAAUACGUAGGUGGCAAGCGUUAUCCGGAAUUAUUGGGCGUAAAGCGCGCGUAGGCGGUUUUUUAAGUCUGAUGUGAAAGCCCACGGCUCAACCGUGGAGGGUCAUUGGAAACUGGAAAACUUGAGUGCAGAAGAGGAAAGUGGAAUUCCAUGUGUAGCGGUGAAAUGCGCAGAGAUAUGGAGGAACACCAGUGGCGAAGGCGACUUUCUGGUCUGUAACUGACGCUGAUGUGCGAAAGCGUGGGGAUCAAACAGGAUUAGAUACCCUGGUAGUCCACGCCGUAAACGAUGAGUGCUAAGUGUUAGGGGGUUUCCGCCCCUUAGUGCUGCAGCUAACGCAUUAAGCACUCCGCCUGGGGAGUACGACCGCAAGGUUGAAACUCAAAGGAAUUGACGGGGACCCGCACAAGCGGUGGAGCAUGUGGUUUAAUUCGAAGCAACGCGAAGAACCUUACCAAAUCUUGACAUCCUUUGACAACUCUAGAGAUAGAGCCUUCCCCUUCGGGGGACAAAGUGACAGGUGGUGCAUGGUUGUCGUCAGCUCGUGUCGUGAGAUGUUGGGUUAAGUCCCGCAACGAGCGCAACCCUUAAGCUUAGUUGCCAUCAUUAAGUUGGGCACUCUAAGUUGACUGCCGGUGACAAACCGGAGGAAGGUGGGGAUGACGUCAAAUCAUCAUGCCCCUUAUGAUUUGGGCUACACACGUGCUACAAUGGACAAUACAAAGGGCAGCGAAACCGCGAGGUCAAGCAAAUCCCAUAAAGUUGUUCUCAGUUCGGAUUGUAGUCUGCAACUCGACUACAUGAAGCUGGAAUCGCUAGUAAUCGUAGAUCAGCAUGCUACGGUGAAUACGUUCCCGGGUCU
rnacentral:rRNA from 1 species